rnacentral:lncRNA from 1 species
GGGGAAAGGAACACUUGGUGCAGCCACGGCACGAGAAAUAACUCGUUAAUUAUUGGUUCAUUAAAGCAUUUGAAGAUCGGGGUGUAACGGCAAUACAGGAAAGCUCAAGUGCAAGAUUCCUGUUAUUUGCUGAAGUAAGGGAAUGCUGGCAGUAUCAAGUUCUUUACAUGAGGACUGACAUGACUAGAUGCUCCUUUGAAGAUUUAAUUCGCUGUGUUGGAGGAACAGUCCAGCCACUCUGGGAACAAAAACUCCUCUGUGUGGACAGCCCUUCCCCAGCUGUGUGACUGCACUGGCUCUGAAUCCUCUGAGCUCUGUAUUUUUCUUCCAGCAAGUUUUAGGGUGGAAGUUUAAAUGAGCAUCUGCCACAGCACCAAUGCCAACAUGAGCUGGCCACCAACCAGCAGGGCUACUCUUGCAUGGGAUGCCUGGCUCCCCUUUGGAGACCUUUGUGACACACUCACAUUCCACCAGCCUGGUGCCUCAAAUUCCUGCUUCUCUCCAAAUUUUCCAGUUGGUGAAACAACAGAAUUUUCUGCUUGAUGAACCACAAAUUGCUGGUGCUGGUUUACCUGGAGACUGUGAUACUGGAGACCUGCCUCAACAUCUGAUGAGAGUGACAUCAGUAAAGACAUAA